rnacentral:rRNA from 1 species
UGGGGAAUUUUGGACAAUGGGCGAAAGCCUGAUCCAGCAAUGCCGCGUGUGUGAAGAAGGCCUUCGGGUUGUAAAGCACUUUUGUCCGGAAAGAAAUCCUUGGCUCUAAUACAGUCGGGGGAUGACGGUACCGGAAGAAUAAGCACCGGCUAACUACGUGCCAGCAGCCGCGGUAAUACGUAGGGUGCAAGCGUUAAUCGGAAUUACUGGGCGUAAAGCGUGCGCAGGCGGUUUGCUAAGACCGAUGUGAAAUCCCCGGGCUCAACCUGGGAACUGCAUUGGUGACUGGCAGGCUAGAGUAUGGCAGAGGGGGGUAGAAUUCCACGUGUAGCAGUGAAAUGCGUAGAGAUGUGGAGGAAUACCGAUGGCGAAGGCAGCCCCCUGGGCCAAUACUGACGCUCAUGCACGAAAGCGUGGGGAGCAAACAGGAUUAGAUACCCUGGUAGUCCACGCCCUAAACGAUGUCAACUAGUUGUGGGAUUCAUUCCUUAGUAACGUAGCUAACGCGUGAAGUUGACCGCCUGGGGAGUACGGUCGCAAGAUUAAAACUCAAAGGAAUUGACGGGGUCAAGCUGUUUCC